rnacentral:tRNA from 1 species
GAAUUGCAAAUUCAAAGACGUUACCGAGAGGU